rnacentral:tRNA from 1 species
GGUGGCAUAAGGGUUAGAGUAAAGUACUUGGCUGCUAACCAAGUUGGUUGGUGGUUAGAAGCCACCUGCCACUC